rnacentral:rRNA from 1 species
ACUCCUACGGGAGGCAGCAGUGGGGAAUAUUGGACAAUGGGGGAAACCCUGAUCCAGCCAUGCCGCGUGUGUGAAGAAGGCCUUCGGGUUGUAAAGCACUUUCAGUGGGGAGGAAAGGUUGUUGGUUAAUACCUAGCAGCUGUGACGUUACCCACAGAAGAAGCACCGGCUAACUCCGUGCCAGCAGCCGCGGUAAUACGGGAGGGUGCAAGCAGUUAAUCGGAAUUACUGGGCGUAAAGCGUGCGCAGGCGGUCUGUUAAGCGAGAUGUGAAAGCCCCGGGCUCAACCUGGGAACUGCAUUUGAACUGGCAGACUAGAGUCUUGUAGAGGGGGUAGAAUUCCAGGUGUA